rnacentral:rRNA from 1 species
AUUGAACGCUGGCGGCAGGCCUAACACAUGCAAGUCGAGCGGAUGAAGGGAGCUUGCUCCUGGAUUCAGCGUCGGACGGGUGAGUAAUGCCUAGGAAUCUGCCUGGUAUUGGGGGAUAACGUCCGGAAACGGGCGCUAAUACCGCAUACGUCCUGAGGGAGAAAGUGGGGGAUCUUCGGACCUCACGCUAUCAGAUGAGCCUAGGUCGGAUUAGCUAGUUGGUGGGGUAAAGGCCUACCAAGGCGACGAUCCGUAACUGGUCUGAGAGGAUGAUCAGUCACACUGGAACUGAGACACGGUCCAGACUCCUACGGGAGGCAGCAGUGGGGAAUAUUGGACAAUGGGCGAAAGCCUGAUCAAGCCAUGCCGCGUGUGUGAAGAAGGUCUUCGGAUUGUAAAGCACUUUAAGUUGGGAGGAAGGGCAGUAAGUUAAUACCUUGCUGUUUUGACGUUAACAACAGAAUAAGCACCGGCUAACUUCGUG